GAGACACCCCUCUGGGGCAAGACUUGCUUCAAUGGGGCUUGGGUGCUCACUGGGUCUGCCCCCUAAGUGUGUCCUU
rfam:Myotis lucifugus cont2.55960, whole genome shotgun sequence.